GACGAACGCUGGCGGCGUGCUUAACACAUGCAAGUCGAACGGAAAGGCCCUGCUUUUGUGGGGUGCUCGAGUGGCGAACGGGUGAGUAACACGUGAGUAACCUGCCCUUGACUUUGGGAUAACUUCAGGAAACUGGGGCUAAUACCGGAUAGGAGCUCCUGCUGCAUGGUGGGGGUUGGAAAGUUUCGGCGGUUGGGGAUGGACUCGCGGCUUAUCAGCUUGUUGGUGGGGUAGUGGCUUACCAAGGCUUUGACGGGUAGCCGGCCUGAGAGGGUGACCGGCCACAUUGGGACUGAGAUACGGCCCAGACUGCUACGGGAGGCAGCAGUGGGGAAUAUUGCACAAUGGGCGGAAGCCUGAUGCAGCAACCCCGCGUGCGGGAUGACGGCCUUCGGGUUGUAAACCGCUUUCGCCUGUGACGAAGCGUGAGUGACGGUAAUGGGUAAAGAAGCACCGGCUAACUACGUG
rnacentral:rRNA from 1 species